UCCCCGCUGCCUCCUUGAAAGAGAGAUGUCCUGAACCGCUAGACGAUGGGGGCAGACUUGCACGACCGCCAUC
rnacentral:tRNA from 3 species